GGAUACCCGCUGAACUUAAGCAUAUCAAUAAGCGGAGGAAAAGAANNCAACAGGGAUUGCCUCAGUAACGGCGAGUGAAGNGGCAACAGCUCAAAUUUGAANUCUGNCCNCACGGUCCGAGUUGUAAUUUGUAGAGGAAGUCUCGGGUGCGACACCGGCCUAAGUUCCUUGGAACAGGGCGUCAUAGAGGGUGAGAAUCCCGUACGUGGCCGGCCGUCAACCCCAUGUGAGGCUCCUUCGACGAGUCGAGUUGUUUGGGAAUGCAGCUCAAAAUGGGUGGUAUAUUUCAUCUAAAGCUAAAUAUUGGCCAGAGACCGAUAGCGCACAAGUAGAGUGAUCGAAAGAUGAAAAGCACUUUGGAAAGAGAGUUAAACAGUACGUGAAAUUGUUGAAAGGGAAGCGCUUGCAAUCAGACUUGCCCGCGGGUGAUCAACCGUCCUUCGGGGCGGUGCACUCGCCCGUGGUCAGGCCAGCAUCGGUUUUGGCGGCCGGACAAAGGCCCUGGGAACGUGGCUCCUCUCGGGGAGUGUUAUAGCCCAGGGUGCAAUGCGGCCAGCCGGGACCGAGGACCGCGCUUCGGCUAGGAUGCUGGCGUAAUGGUUGUAAGCGACC
rnacentral:rRNA from 1 species